CGAAGAUCCUGUCAGCUUCAAGGGUGGCUAAGUGCAUCCUAGACUGACUUGCUGGUUGAGUCACACCUCAGAGCUUCUAGGCAGGCAGUCUCUCUGCAGGUGGAAUGCCUCCUGUCCCUCAAGUGGCUCAGCGGAUCAGCCAGGAGGAAAACCAACAGCAAAAUGGACCAAAUUUGUCAAAUCUGCUUGAUUCCUUCCCUGCUGCACACAGCAGGAACCCAGCUCUGCCCCAGCAGGUACAACCAGCAGGAUGGCAUAAGAACCAUGUGCUUGUGGUCCCAGCUCCAGUUCCCUCACAACAACAGCACACAGACUGGUCUCUAUUUGAUGUGACUGGGAUGGAAAACCAAAUCACUUGCUAUGAAGGACAAGUGCUGCCAAAACUGAAGGUAACUGGAAAGCUUAUUGAGGAGAUCUUCUGCUCCCCUUCGUCACCCAGACUUGAGCCAGUGAAGCUCCAACCAAACAGGUAUGCAGGGUUUUUUUUGCAUAAGCUUUAUCUGAUCACAAUAGAUUCAGAGAAGAAUUUUGAAUUUAAUAUUCCAGAAGAAAGAGACAACUGA
rnacentral:lncRNA from 1 species